rnacentral:rRNA from 1 species
CAAGUCGAACGGCAGCAUGGAAGAGCUUGCUCUUCUGAUGGCGAGUGGCGAACGGGUGAGUAAAGCAUCGGAACGUACCGUGUAGUGGGGGAUAACGUAGCGAAAGUUACGCUAAUACCGCAUACGCACUGAGGUGGAAAGCAGGGGAUCGCAAGACCUUGCGCUAUACGAGCGGCCGAUGUCAGAUUAGCUAGUUGGUAGGGUAAAGGCCUACCAAGGCGACGAUCUGUAGCGGGUCUGAGAGGAUGAUCCGCCACACUGGGACUGAGACACGGCCCAGACUCCUACGGGAGGCAGCAGUGGGGAAUUUUGGACAAUGGGCGAAAGCCUGAUCCAGCCAUGCCGCGUGAGUGAAGAAGGCCUUCGGGUUGUAAAGCUCUUUCGGCUGGGAAGAAAUCGCACAGGCUAAUACUCUGUGUGGAUGACGGUACCAGCACAAGAAGCACCGGCUAACUACGUGCCAGCAGCCGCGGUAAUACGUAGGGUGCGAGCGUUAAUCGGAAUUACUGGGCGUAAAGCGUGCGCAGGCGGUUGUGCAAGACAGAUGUGAAAUCCCCGGGCUCAACCUGGGAACUGCAUUUGUGACUGCACGACUAGAGUACGGCAGAGGGGGGUAGAAUUCCACGUGUAGCAGUGAAAUGCGUAGAGAUGUGGAGGAAUACCGAUGGCGAAGGCAGCCCCCUGGGCCGAUACUGACGCUCAUGCACGAAAGUGUGGGGAGCAAACAGGAUUAGAUACCCUGCUAGUCCACGCCCUAAACGAUGUCAACUAGUUGUUGGUAGGGUUAAACCUAUUAGUAACGUAGCUAACGCGUGAAGUUGACCGCCUGGGGAGUACGGUCGCAAGAUUAAAACUCAAAGGAAUUGACGG